GUAAAGCCACCGCGUUACUGUGCUUCAAAUCCCUUUGCCACCGUGCACAGGAAGUGGGUCUCUGGUACUGGAUGUGCAGGUGGUAAAGUUGUGGUUGGCUGCAACUCACUAGCUAACACUUGUAUAUCCUGUUAAGUUCUUUGAGGCGGGGACGGUCGUUUACUCUGUUUGUACAGCACCUAGCACAAUGAGGCUCUGACUUGCUUGUGACUUCCAGGGGUUACUGCAAUCUGCUGCUGCUCCCUGGUGUGUGGAUGCUACCUGGUACGGGGAUUCUUGAUUGUGCUUACAAAGGAGGUGUGGGGAGCCAGAAUAGCUACAUGGAGAAAAAGACCCUCCAUGGGAGUAGGAUGUGUCCUUUUCCAUGGAUCUUAAGAUCAGGAGGCUACACUCCCUGCAUCCUUUGCAGAUGCUAAUGCCACCCCUGAAGCCAUGAUAAGGUAACUCUUGCAGAAUUUCCUGGUCCGCUCUUCAACCUCCUGCAGGAACAUCGAGAGAGAGUAAGAUUUGGCUCUCAGAAGGCAGAUAAAUAACUAAAAUAAAUCCUAUUUAUUCUUUAAAAUGAGAAGAGUGAUAACUCUCCACAGCUCCUCCCCUUGUUGAAUCAGGUUAGUUCAAGUACCCAUUUGUCUCUGCUGCAAAAGGAAGAAAA